GGGGAAUAUUGCACAAUGGGCGAAAGCCUGAUGCAGCGACGCCGCGUGCGGGAUGAAGGCCUUCGGGUUGUAAACCGCUUUUGAUUGGGAGCAAGCGAGAGUGAGUGUACCUUUCGAAUAAGCACCGGCUAACUACGUGCCAGCAGCCGCGGUAAUACGUAGGGUGCAAGUGUUAUCCGGAAUUAUUGGGCGUAAAGAGCUCGUAGGCGGUUUGUCGCGUCUGGUGUGAAAGUCCAUCGCUUAACGGUGGAUCUGCGCCGGGUACGGGCAGGCUAGAGUGCGACAGGGGGAGACUGGAAUUCCCGGUGUAACGGUGGAAUGUGUAGAUAUCGGGAAGAACACCAAUGGCGAAGGCAGGUCUCUGGGUCGUCACUGACGCUGAGGAGCGAAAAGCGUGGGGAGCGAACAGGAUUAGAUACCCUGGUAGUCCACGCCGUAAACGGUGGAUGCUGGAUGUGGGGCCCAUUCCACGGGUUCCGUGUC
rnacentral:rRNA from 1 species